rnacentral:rRNA from 1 species
CUGCUGCCUCCCGUAGGAGUCUGGGCCGUGUCUCAGUCCCAGUGUGGGGGGCCUUCCUCUCAGAACCCCACGCAUCGUCGCCACGGUGGGCCGUCACCCCGCCGUCUAGCUAAUGCGCCGCAUGCCCAUCCGCCACCGGAUCGCUCCUUUGGCCACCGGAGGAUGCCCUCCGGUGGCGUCACGGGGUAUUAGGCCGCGUUUCCGCGGGUUAUCCCCCUGUGGCGGCCAGGUUGCAUACGUGUUACUCACCCGUGCGCCGGUCGCCGGCGGG